GACGAACGCUGGCGGCGUGCUUAACACAUGCAAGUCGAACGGAAAGGCCCUGCUUUUGUGGGGUGCUCGUGUGGCGAACGGGUGAGUAACACGUGAGUAAACUGCCCUUGACUUUGGGAUAACUUCAGGAAACUCGGGCUAAUACCGGAUAGGAGCUCCUGCUGCAUGGUGGGGGUUGGAAAGUUUCGGCGGUUGGGGAUGGACUCGCGGCUUAUCAGCUUGUUGGUGGGGUAGUGGCUUACCAAGGCUUUGAAGGGUAGACGGCCUGAGAGGGUGACCGGCCACAUUGGGACUGAGAUACGGCCCAGUAUCCUACGGGAGGCAGCAGUGGGGAAUAUUGCACAAUGGGGCGAAGCCUGAUGCAGCAACGCCGCGUGCGGGAUGACGGCCUUCGGGUUGUAAACCGCUUUCGCCUGUGACGAAGCGUGAUUGACGGUAAUGGGUAAAGAAGCACCGGCUAACUACGUG
rnacentral:rRNA from 1 species